UACGUAGGGGGCUAGCGUUGUCCGGAAUCAUUGGGCGUAAAGCGCGUGUAGGCGGCCCGGUAAGUCCGCUGUGAAAGUCGGGGGCUCAACCCUCGGAUGCCGGUGGAUACUGUCGGGCUUGAGUACGGAAGAGGCGAGUGGAAUUCCUGGUGUAGCGGUGAAAUGCGCAGAUAUCAGGAGGAACACCUACUGCGAAGGCAGCUCGCUGGGACGUGACUGACGCUGAGACGCGAAAGCGUGGGGAGCAAACAGG
rnacentral:rRNA from 1 species